rnacentral:rRNA from 1 species
GAUGAACGCUGGCGGCGUGCCUAAUACAUGCAAGUCGAGCGAACAGACGAGGAGCUUGCUCCUCUGACGUUAGCGGCGGACGGGUGAGUAAAACGUGGAUAACCUACCUAUAAGACUGGGAUAACUUCGGGAAACCGGAGCUAAUACCGGAUAAUAUAUUGAACCGCAUGGUUCAAUAGUGAAAGACGGUUUUGCUGUCACUUAUAGAUGGAUCCGCGCCGCAUUAGCUAGUUGGUAAGGUAACGGCUUACCAAGGCAACGAUGCGUAGCCGACCUGAGAGGGUGAUCGGCCACACUGUAACUGAGACACGGUCCAGACUCCUACGGGAGGCAGCAGUAGGGAAUCUUCCGCAAUGGGCGAAAGCCUGACGGAGCAACGCCGCGUGAGUGAUGAAGGUCUUCGGAUCGUAAAACUCUGUUAUUAGGGAAGAACAAAUGUGUAAGUAACUAUGCACGUCUUGACGGUACCUAAUCAGAAAGCCACGGCUAACUACGUG